UACAGAGGGUGCAAGCGUUAAUCGGAAUUACUGGGCGUAAAGCGCACGUAGGCGGUUUUUUAAGUCAGAUGUGAAAGCCCCGGGCUCAACCUGGGAAUUGCAUUUGAAACUGGGGAACUAGAGUGUGUGAGAGGGGGGUAGAAUUCCAAGUGUAGCGGUGAAAUGCGUAGAGAUUUGGAGGAAUACCAGUGGCGAAGGCGGCCCCCUGGCAUAACACUGACGCUCAGGUGCGAAAGCGUGGGGAGCAAACAGG
rnacentral:rRNA from 1 species